rnacentral:rRNA from 1 species
UACGUAGGGUGCAAGCGUUAAUCGGAAUUACUGGGCGUAAAGCGUGCGCAGGCGGCUUUGCAAGACAGAUGUGAAAUCCCCGGGCUUAACCUGGGAACUGCAUUUGUGACUGCAUGGCUCGAGUACGGUAGAGGGGGAUGGAAUUCCGCGUGUAGCAGUGAAAUGCGUAGAUAUGCGGAGGAACACCGAUGGCGAAGGCGAGUCUCUGGACAUUUCCUGACGCUGAGGCACGAAAGCCAGGGGAGCAAACGGG